UCAUCUUGCCUCGGUUUUCUGGUGGAAAAAGUUUAUGUUGACAGGAUCCCCAGGCUACAGCAAAGCAGCGCUGAGGAAGAAGGUCAUGUCUGUCUAUUCUCCUCUCCCUCCUGAACUGAGCCUCUCCUGGGAAGAACAAGUGUCUCUAGUUUUUCCAAGACAUGUCAGCAUGGGGUCUGUGUGAGAAAAAAUGGAUUUCCUUCAGUGAAUAUUUUCAUCAACGGAAGCUUAUACUGCCAUUGAGGGGUGGGAGCAGUGAUGUCUGUUAAUGCUGCCACUAAGGCAAUCACCCAUGACAAAUUCUCCACAGACAGAGGAAGUCACAGAUGCUGUGAAACUUUCAGGCCGAUUCUGGGAACUUGUCAACCCUAACUGUCAUCAGUACUGACAAGGCAAACUCAAGUGCUGGCAGUCUGGCUGGCAGGGGAAUACUGGCAGGCAGACAGACGAGUAGGACGAGUGAUGAUCCUGGGAUACAGAGAG